UACAGAGGUCUCAAGCGUUGUUCGGAUUUAUUGGGCGUAAAGGGUGCGUAGGCGGCGCGGUAAGUCGGGUGUGAAAUCUCGGAGCUUAACUCCGAAACUGCAUUCGAUACUGCCGUGCUUGAGGACUGGAGAGGAGACUGGAAUUUACGGUGUAGCGGUGAAAUGCGUAGAUAUCGUAAGGAAGACCAGUGGCGAAGGCGGGUCUCUGGACAGUUACUGACACUGAGGCGCGACAGCGUGGGGAGCAAACAGG
rnacentral:rRNA from 1 species